rnacentral:rRNA from 1 species
UACGAAGGGGGGCUAGCGUUGCUCGGAAUCACUGGGCGUAAAGCGCACGUAGGCGGACUCUUAAGUCGGUGGUGAAAUCCUGGAGCUCAACUCCAGAACUGCCUUCGAUACUGAGAGUCUCGAGUCCGAGAGAGGUGAGUGGAACUGCGAGUGUAGAGGUGAAAUUCGUAGAUAUUCGCAAGAACACCAGUGGCGAAGGCGGCUCACUGGCUCGGUACUGACGCUGAGGUGCGAAAGCGUGGGGGAGCAAACAGG